rnacentral:tRNA from 1 species
GCCUAGGUAGCGCAGUAGGUUUUCGAGUCAGUCUCAUAAUCUGAAGGUCGUGAGUUCGACCCUCACCCUGGGCA